AAUGAAGUGCCUGAAUAAAGGGUUAUUUUGAUAGAAUAAAUUAUGUAGAAUUUACCUUCAUUA
rnacentral:tRNA from 2 species